rnacentral:snRNA from 1 species
GUGACAGGCAAAGGUAGCACAUAUAUUAAAAUUGGAAUGAUGCAGAGAAGAUUAGCAUGGCUCCUGCGCAAGUAUGACACGGAAAUUCGAGCUUUGUGGAAAAAAAAG